GAUGAACGCUGGCGGCGUGCCUAAUACAUGCAAGUCGAGCGAACGGACGAGAAGCUUGCUUUUCUGAUGUUAGCGGCGGACGGGUGAGUAACACGUGGAUAACCUACCUAUAAGACUGGGAUAACUUCGGGAAACCGGAGCUAAUACCGGAUAAUAUUUUGAACCGCAUGGUUCAAAAGUGAAAGACGGUCUUGCUGUCACUUAUAGAUGGAUCCGCACUGCAUUAGCUAGUUGGUAAGGUAACGGCUUACCAAGGCAACGAUGCAUAGCCGACCUGAGAGGGUGAUCGGCCACACUGGAACUGAGACACGGUCCAGACUCCUACGGGAGGCAGCAGUAGGGAAUCUUCCGCAAUGGGCGAAAGCCUGACGGAGCAACGCCGCGUGAGUGAUGAAGGUCUUCGGAUCGUAAAACUCUGUUAUUAGGGAAGAACUUAUGUGUAAGUAACUGUGCACAUCUUGACGGUACCUAAUCAGAAAGCCACGGCUAACUACGUG
rnacentral:rRNA from 1 species